UUAGCGUCCUACUCGUCCUGAGUGAUUUGAGUCACUCACUCACUAGUCACUUCAUUUCGCCACCACCGCAACAACUGCAACCUCUCUGAAAUUCCGGCCAAAUUCAAACUUUUCCGAGGUUGAUCGAAUUCAGAGUCACUCGCUAUUUGUGAAAUUCGUGCUGGCCAUUUGUGUGGUGAUUGUCAUUUCAAAUGAGAGUUAAUUGUGUGUCUAUAUGAAGCUCCGAGGUCAUGAACAAUAUUGUGUAUAGAGAAGAGUGAUGAAAUCAGAUUCAGCCAAUCCUUUCUGCUCAGAAAUAGCUGCCAAGGAUGCAAUGGAAGCUGAAUGGGAUUCUUGUUACAAUGAUACAUGACCCUUUGAUAGAGCUCCUUGAGAUAUGCUAGCUUUUUCAUAAGUGGGUGAUGUUGUAACACUUGCAACGGGUUACAGAAAUUUGUUUACAUUACUUUAUCUAUAAUUAUUGAAAUACUAUCUGAUUGUUGGACUAUUUUUUUACUUUUUAGUGGAUAGGCAGUUCAUUACGAAAAUGGUAUAUUGUAUUGGAAUUGCCCAGAUUGGUAUGGACAUGAAUAAAAAAAAAAAAAAAAAAAUCUGAAUUGGCUAAUCAUGAUUCUAACCUUUCAUCUCUCUUACAAUCUGCUGCUGAUGCUUCUUGCAGUCUAACCUCUUUUCUGACCAAAAGAUUAUGGCAGAUGUGAAGGAUAACGAAAGGAACCUGGAGCCAGUCAUGAUUUGUCUUUCCACAAUUCUCAAGUUGGAAAUCAGGCCUGCUGCAUGGCUGAUACAAAAAUUCACAAACACAGAAUUUGCUAGUAGGUGAAUUGGGUGGUA